rnacentral:rRNA from 1 species
UACAGAGGUCUCAAGCGUUGUUCGGAAUCACUGGGCGUAAAGAGCGUGUAGGCGGUCCGGUCAGUCGGUUGUGAAAGUCAAGGGCUCAACCCUUGAAUGCCGGCCGAUACUGCAGGGCUAGAGUCCGGAAGAGGCGAGUGGAAUUCCUGGUGUAGCGGUGGAAUGCGCAGAUAUCAGGAGGAACACCAAUAGCGAAGGCAGCUCGCUGGGACGGUACUGACGCUGAGGCGCGAAAGCGUGGGGAGCGAACAGG